UGUGUGUGUAUAAGGGACAUACUGCUCCACCUUUCGCGUUUUUUGCUGUCACAUGAUAAACUCACAGGGGGUGCUAAUGUUGCUAAUGGGUAUCGUAGCCUCCCGGCCCCUGCAACACUGAAGAAGGAAACAUGGA